rnacentral:rRNA from 1 species
AGUGAACGCUGGCGGUAUGCCUAACACAUGCAAGUCGAACGGCAACACAGUAAGCUCUUUCUUUUACGGUUGGCGAGUGGCGGACGGGUGAGAAAUACAUCGGCUUCUACUUUUUCGUGGGGGAUAACGUAGGGAAGCUUACGCUAAUACCUCAUACUACAUACGGGUGAAAGCAGGGGAUCUUCGGACCUUGCGCGAUUGAAUGAGCCGAUGUCGGAUUAGCUAGUUGGUGGGGUAAAGGCCUACCAAGGCGACGAUGCGUAGCUGAUCUGAGAGGAUGAUCAGCCACACUGGAACUGAGACACGGUCCAGACUCCUACGGGAGGCAGCAGUAGGGAAUAUUGGGCAAUGGGCGAAAGCCUGACGCAGCAAUGCCGCGUGAGUGAUGAAGGUCUUCGGAUUGUAAAGCCCUGUUGUUAGGGAAGAAAAAAUGUGGAAGAAACCAUGGAUGUUUUGACGGUACCCAAACAGAAAGCCCCGGCUAACUACGUG